CCCGGUUCCUCGAGAGGUCGUCGCCUUGCAGCCCUGGCUGAUUUCGAAGGCUAAAGGCGAUUCUUCAACACAAAUGGCGUCUUGCUCUGUCACCCAGGCUGGAGUGCAGUGGUGCGAUCUCGGCUCACUGCAACCUCUGCCCUUCUGGUUCAAGCAAUUCUCCCUGCCUCAGCCUGAGGUUUCUCCAGGACGUCACCUGUAUGAGGUACACAGUGUGAUGACACACUCUGUGCUUUUCCUACUUGUGUCCACGUGAGUGUCUGGAGCUGCCCUUCAAGGAGAGCAAUAGAUGAAUGAUUCUGCCUUCCCGCUGAGAGGGAUGUGGGUCCUGCGGAUGGUCGGGGUGAAGCUUCCUCUCCUUUCUGCUGACAGCACUUCCUCAUUAAAUGCAGAGAUCUGCAAAAAGGGAAAAUAAAAACACAAGAAG
ensembl:lncRNA LNCATV lncRNA negative regulator of antiviral signaling